AAUGCUUCUGAAUACUGGGAUUCUUUCUUGACUAGUGAAGACAAAAGGUACAAUUCAACCAACAAGGAGUAGGGAUAAAGUCAAUCAUAGCAUUGGAUCAUCUAAAAAUUAUAUUUAUAUGGAUGGUCAAAUGUGAGAUUGAACAUGAGAGAGACUGCAAAUUUGUCUGAUGCAAAAAAAUCAUCGAUAAGUCAAACCUUCAGAUAAAGUCAGUUGUGGCAUUGGAUCAUCUAAAAAUUAUAUUUAUGUUGAAGCUGAGAAGGAGGCUCAUGUCAAAGAGAGAGGGACCGUCUAAAAGUAUUGUGCAAGAUAUAGAGCAUGCACUCAUCAUAUCUAAGUGAUCGAAGUGAUAUUGAUUGGCUUAUUAGAUGGAUAUUGGCCCAGUUUAUCUUUCAUUUUUUCUAUAGCUGUUAGAAAUUUACUUUGCUCAUAGUUCAUACUAUAAUUAAUAUGAGACUCUUGUUUUGUGGUCCAAGUGUUCAGCGCUCAGGGUGCCUUGGAAGUACGCUAGCUUGUUGUCAUGAAGAAGUCAUUCAAGUUCCUUCCACUGAAGUUGGUGCAUAAGGCUGCAACACCAUCUAGUGGAGGGUGUUCUGGACAAAGAAAGCUUGUACCUUAAAACAGGAGGAUAUAAGAAGCUGGAGUGGUUGUCUGAAGGCUUUUGAACUGCUUGAAGCAUUAGUGUAGCUUUGGUGCUUUUGUGACUGAUCAGCUCUGGAGCAGCUAGAGUAAUAUAGUUGUGGGCUUUUGAAUAAUAGUUGGAGUGAUAUGAAACAUUAGUGAUCUAGUUGUGAAUGAUAUUAUAAUUGUGAUGCUUUUGUGAAUAUAUAAUUGUGGUGCUUUUGUGUUUA